AGAAAAGCCUCUAGAUAGAUAAUAGGUGCCCGUACCGCAAACCGACACAGGUAGUCAAGAUGAGAAUUCUAAGGUGAGCGAGCGAACUCUCGUUAAGGAACUCGGCAAAAUGACCCCGUAACUUCGGGAGAAGGGGUGCUCUUUAGGGUGCAAGCCCAGAAGAGCCGCAGUGAAUAGGCCCAAGCGACUGUUUAUCAAAAACACAGGUCUCUGCUAAACCGUAAGGUGAUGUAUAGGGGCUGACGCCUGCCCGGUGCUGGAAGGUUAAGAGGAGUGGUUAGCUUCUGCGAAGCUACGAAUCGAAGCCCCAGUAAACGGCGGCCGUAACUAUAACGGUCCUAAGGUAGCGAAAUUCCUUGUCGGGUAAGUUCCGACCCGCACGAAAGGCGUAACGAUUUGGGCACUGUCUCAACGAGAGACUCGGUGAAAUCAUAGUACCUGUGAAGAUGCAGGUUACCCGCGACAGGACGGAAAGACCCCGUGGAGCUUUACUGUAGCCUGAUAUUGAAAUUCGGCACAGCUUGUACAGGAUAGGUAGGAGCCUUUGAAACGUGAGCGCUAGCUUACGUGGAGGCGCUGGUGGGAUACUACCCUAGCUGUGUUGGCUUUCUAACCCGCACCACUUAUCGUGGUGGGAGACAGUGUCAGGCGGGCAGUUUGACUGGGGCGGUCGCCUCCUAAAAGGUAACGGAGGCGCUCAAAGGUUCCCUCAGAAUGGUUGGAAAUCAUUCAUAGAGUGUAAAGGCAUAAGGGAGCUUGACUGCGAGACCUACAAGUCGAGCAGGGUCGAAAGACGGACUUAGUGAUCCGGUGGUUCCGCAUGGAAGGGCCAUCGCUCAACGGAUAAAAGCUACCCCGGGGAUAACAGGCUUAUCUCCCCCAAGAGUUCACAUCGACGGGGAGGUUUGGCACCUCGAUGUCGGCUCAUCGCAUCCUGGGGCUGUAGUCGGUCCCAAGGGUUGGGCUGUUCGCCCAUUAAAGCGGUACGCGAGCUGGGUUCAGAACGUCGUGAGACAGUUCGGUCCCUAUCCGUCGUGGGCGUAGGAAAUUUGAGAGGAGCUGUCCUUAGUACGAGAGGACCGGGAUGGACAUACCUCUGGUGUACCAGUUGUCGUGCCAACGGCAUAGCUGGGUAGCUAUGUAUGGACGGGAUAAGUGCUGAAAGCAUCUAAGCAUGAAGCCCCCCUCAAGAUGAGAUUUCCCAACUUCGGUUAUAAGAUCCCUCAAAGAUGAUGAGGUUAAUAGGUUCGAGGUGGAAGCGUGGUGACACGUGGAGCUGACGAAUACUAAUCGAUCGAAGACUUAAUCAA
rnacentral:rRNA from 1 species